GGCGUAGUUUAAUGGCAGAACAGUGGUCUCCAAAACCAUUAGUGUGGGUUCGACUCCUGCCGCCC
rnacentral:tRNA from 1 species